GGGCCUGUAGCUUAAUGGUAGAGCGCUGCCCUUGCAAGGCAGAGGUUCUGGGUUCAAAUCCCAGCAGGUCCA
rnacentral:tRNA from 1 species